rnacentral:lncRNA from 1 species
CUCUCUCAGUUAUACACAUCAAUAACCAUGAAAAGGUAGACUCUCUCUCUCUCAGUUAUACACAUCAACAACCAUGAAAAGGUAGACUCUCUCUCUCAGUUAUACACAUCAAUAACCAUGAAAAGGUAGACUCUCUCUCUCAGUUAUACACAUCAACAACCAUGAAAAGGUAGACUCUCUCUCUCCCUCAGUUAUACACAUCAAUAACCAUGAAAAGGUAGACUCUCUCUCUCUCAGUUAUACACAUCAAUAACCAUGAAAAGGUAGACUCUCUCUCUCAGUUAUACACAUCAACAACCAUGAAAAGGUAGACUCUCUCUCAGUUAUACACAUCAACAACCAUGAAAAGGUAGACUCUCUCUCUCUCUCAGUUAUACACAUCAAUAACCAUGAAAAGGUAGACUCUCUCUCUCUCAGUUAUACACAUAAACA